AACAGAAAGUAGCUUGCUACUUUGCUGACGAGCGGCGGACGGGUGAGUAAUGCUUGGGAACAUGCCUUGAGGUGGGGGACAACAGUUGGAAACGACUGCUAAUACCGCAUAAUGUCUACGGACCAAAGGGGGCUUCGGCUCUCGCCUUUAGAUUGGCCCAAGUGGGAUUAGCUAGUUGGUGAGGUAAUGGCUCACCAAGGCGACGAUCCCUAGCUGGUUUGAGAGGAUGAUCAGCCACACUGGGACUGAGACACGGCCCAGACUCCUACGGGAGGCAGCAGUGGGGAAUAUUGCACAAUGGGCGCAAGCCUGAUGCAGCCAUGCCGCGUGUGUGAAGAAGGCCUUCGGGUUGUAAAGCACUUUCAGUCAGGAGGAAAGGUUAGUAGUUAAUACCUGCUAGCUGUGACGUUACUGACAGAAGAAGCACCGGCUAACUCCGUGCCAGCAGCCGCGGUAAUACGGAGGGUGCGAGCGUUAAUCGGAAUUACUGGGCGUAAAGCGUACGCAGGCGGUUUGUUAAGCGAGAUGUGAAAGCCCCGGGCUCAACCUGGGAACUGCAUUUCGAACUGGCAAACUAGAGUGUGAUAGAGGGUGGUAGAAUUUCAGGUGUAGCGGUGAAAUGCGUAGAGAUCUGAAGGAAUACCGAUGGCGAAGGCAGCCACCUGGGUCAACACUGACGCUCAUGUACGAAAGCGUGGGG
rnacentral:rRNA from 1 species